rnacentral:tRNA from 1 species
UUAAAAGUAGUUAAAAUAUAACUUAGAGUUGUCAGUUCUAAAUACCUUCCAUUAAGGCUUUUUAU